ACUACGUCCCCCUCCCAUUUUACAGCUGAAGAAACUGAGGUUCAAAGCCGAUAAAUGAUUUUGCCAAGGUUGACAGAGCCAGCAACUGACUGCUUUGAAAUUUGAAUACGGGGGUAGCAUAACUCCAAAUUCAACACUCUACCUACUACCGCUAGACCAGCCCAGGGGGAGGGGGGAGUCAGAAUUCAAGGAUCGAAACAGGAAGAGCCACGAGUGCAAGGAGGAAACGGUUUGGGACCAGAACGGGAAUGAUGUGUCUGUGUGUGUGUGUUGGGGGGGGGGGGGUGUCUUGGGCAGCAAGACUGUUGGAAUUAUAGUUAGAGGAAGGAGAUCAACCGCUCAUAGGGGGUAAGAAGGAGAAUGAAGUCCCAGAGACAAGGACUCGACAGGCGGAUAGGGAUUCGGGGAGUGGGGGUGGGGAGCGUCUUAGCCUGCGAAUAAGAAACCGGGCUCCGGACAGAUUUGUUGUGGAGUGUUGCAAAGAGAAUAAGAAGAUUUGAGGAGAGACAGAGAGGAUAAAGGAAAGAGAAGAUGGAAAAGAUGAAAGGAUAGAAAAAAGGAGAAAUGAAAAGAGACAAGUCAAGGAGGGAAGGGAAAAGAAGAGAAAAGAAGAGAAGAGAAAAAAAGAGAAUUAUCUGUAUCUACCCUAGUUGGGGAAUAAAUGGAAAAUCACAAAGACAA